AAUCUGAUGAUGGGGGCAACUUGCACACAACCUUUUGAAUCUCCCCCAAUACUCAUAUAAGCUUUCACCAUGUUGAUGCCUAAUCCAUUAAAUAUCUUUUCUGAUU